UAUGAUAGAGACUCACCUUUUAAACCAGAAUACUCCUCGAUUCUGUAGGUUGGUAGAACCUCUUCCAUUAUUUUUGUCAUUUGUUUGCACUCAUGUUGUUGUUAUUGUUGUGUUUAUAUGUCGAUUAGGGGUAAAAUUUAGGGAUAAUAGAGGUUAGGGAUCAUAUUAGAAGGAUAUAUGGUUUCUGUUUUGUUUGAUCUGUUUGUGCGGGGUUCGGUUAAGUGGUUGAGGAGAUUGGUUUGGGGAUUGGAUGUGUGUUUGGAGGUUUCUG
rnacentral:lncRNA from 1 species